rnacentral:lncRNA from 7 species
UUCUUUUCUGCUGCUGCUUUUAAAUACUUUCAUUUGUUUUAUGUAUCUCAAAACAGGUAAUUCAUAGAUACAAUGCACUGAGAAAUAUCGUGUCCCCUCUCUCACAAGAAAAGGUAGAUUUUCUGUGCCUUUUACUUAGCAGCACCUACUCUUUCCUGGAAAAGGUGGGACUCCCAAGGAAGCUAAAUUAAUAUGCACUUUUGCACACUACUGAAGUGACAAGAAGUUGAGGGAAUAGAGAAUGGAUUGCCUUAUUAUGCUCCCCAAGUUCCUUCCUGAGUUUUCCUAGUCACCUCCCUCAAGAGGAGAAAGACAGUGACAGGAAGGCAAGAAUAUUCAAGAUCCCAGGAGUUCACAACAAACAAUGCAGGCUUGAGAGGAAUGCCUUAUUAUCAAAACCCUUCUGCAUCCUGGAAUACUGAGAUGUGCUGAAAGGUAAAAGAUCCCUAUGAUGACUGAAGGAAAAGAAAAAUCAAGAGUCCCUCUCACGCUGCUGUCAUCAUACAGACCUGAGGAGUUUAAAAGCCUCAAGAACUCGAAGUCUUGGUCUCUCUUGAGCUGUUUGGCAUCAAGGAGUAAAAGUCUUCCGUGUGUUUCACACAAAGGGAAAAAGGUGCUUAGCUCUGAGUAAUGAUGGUCAUCGGACACCUGGAAAAAACCACAAGGUUUAAAAUUUAUACCGCUUCUAAUGGAUACAGAUUAUCCAUCCGGCAGCCUGGAUGCGUAUCAGUGUUGAUUGAACAAUAACGGCUGAAGAGCUGUUUGUUACUUAAAAUUAAUGAAACACAAUGAAUGAUAUACAGUGCUGUUUGACCGUAUUCAUAAUCCGGCCACAGCCUAUGUGUGGAAUAAAAACGGAGUGGUUUUUGCAUUGAGU